GCAACAAAAAGGGUGAGCAUAUAAAAUAUUUAUUAUAAUAAUAAAUAUUUUAUAUGCUCACCCUUUUUGUUGC